rnacentral:sRNA from 1 species
GGGCUCGGUCUCUGCAGCCUUUGUCACUUGCCCCAACGAGAAGGUCGCCAAGGAGAUCGCCAGGGCCGUGGUGGAGAAGCGCCUAGCAGCCUGCGUCAACCUCAUCCCUCAGAUUACAUCCAUGUGAGUCAUAGGAGUUGGGGGGUUAACCUAACUGUAGGAGCUGACUGGGAACCUCUUUCCUGGGGGAAAUUCUUUGCUCCCCACAACUCUCCGCCUCUGACCUUUCAGCUAUGAGUGGAAAGGGAAGAUCGAGGAAGACAGUGAGGUGCUGAUGAUGAUUAAAACCCAAAGUUCCUUGGUCCCAGCUUUGACAGAUUUUGUUCGUUCUGUGCACCCUUACGAAGUGGCCGAGGUAAUCGCAUUGCCUGUGGAACAGGGGAACUUUCCGUACCUGCAGUGGGUGCGCCAGGUCACAGAGUCAGUUUCUGACUCUAGCACAGUCCUGCCAUGAUGAACCCUGUUCCUGCCGUGAUCCCCUCAAUACUUCGCCUUCUGACUUCCAGGUGAUGACUGGGCCCCCAAUAAAUCCUGUCUUUGGGUCUCUCUGCC